rnacentral:rRNA from 1 species
UACGUAGGGUGCGAGCGUUAAUCGGAAUUACUGGGCGUAAAGCGUGCGCAGGCGGUUUUGUAAGCCAGAUGUGAAAUCCCCGGGCUUAACCUGGGAAUGGCAUUUGGGACUGCAAGGCUUGAGUUUGGCAGAGGAGACUGGAAUUCCUGGUGUAGCAGUGAAAUGCGUAGAUAUCAGGAGGAACACCGGUGGCGAAGGCGGAUCUCUGGGCCUUGACCUGACGCUGGAGGCGCGAAAGCUAGGGGAGCGAACAGG